AUGAGACCAGUGUUAGGAAUAACUCUUUGCCUAACUUUGGGUAUUAUGGGUGAUGCUAAGUCCACACAGCCAUAUGCAGUGGAGAGUACUGAAGAUGAAGUUGUGCGCCUGCCCUGUAACCACUCCACAAUCAGUACAAAUGAGUACAUAUAUUGGUAUCGACAGAUUCCCUGUCAGGGUCCAGAGUAUGUGAUUCAUGGUUUAAGAGACAAUGUGACCAAACAAACGGCCUUUCUGAACAUCGCAGCAGACAGAAAGUCCAGCACCUUGAUCCUGCCCCAGGUUACUCUGAGAGACUCGGCCGUGUACUACUGCAUCAUCAUAUACCCACAGUGA